rnacentral:rRNA from 1 species
UACGUAGGCAGCAAGCGUUGUUCGGAGUUACUGGGCGUAAAGGGUGCGUAGGCGGCUUUUUAAGUCUGGUGUGAAAUCUCCCGGCUCAACUGGGAGGGUGCGCCGGAUACUGAGGGGCUAGAGUGUGGGAGAGGAAAGUGGAAUUCCUGGUGUAGCGGUGAAAUGCGUAGAUAUCAGGAGGAACACCUGUGGUGUAGACGGCUUUCUGGACCAUAGCUGACGCUGAGACACGAAAGCGUGGGUAGCAAACAGG